rnacentral:rRNA from 1 species
UACAGAGGGGGCAAGCGUUGUUCGGAAUUACUGGGCGUAAAGGGCGCGUAGGCGGCCUGUUAAGUCGAACGUGAAAUCCCCGGGCUCAACCCGGGAACUGCGUCCGAUACUGGCAGGCUUGAAUCCGGGAGAGGGAUGCGGAAUUCCAGGUGUAGCGGUGAAAUGCGUAGAUAUCUGGAGGAACACCGGUGGCGAAGGCGGCGAUCCUGGACC